AGAAUCUACUUUCAUUUGCUCACUGCCUGUUGUGUAUGCAAAACGAGUACAACAUUAAUCUAGUGCAAAUGGCAUCUACGAAAUUUUCCAGGAACAUUAGCAGAUUGUUGGCACUUUACGAAGGACUUCGCAGGACCAGAAUGAGCUUGACACAGAGAAAGAGUCUCACUGUGUUGCCAGUGUUGGUCUGAAACUCCUAUCUUCAAGUGAUCCUCCUGCCUCGGCCUCCCAAAGCUCUGGAAUUACAGGCAUGAGCCACCAUACCCAGCCCUUGACAGAGUUUAACGAGUGACACUGUCUUGAAUCUGAUGUUGGUGUUCUGAAGUACAAUCCUUCAUAACCCUGCCAAAGAUAUGACAAUGUAGCCAGACCCAGGCUAGGUGCUGCCAUCAAAAAACAUGGUCCUAAAAUCAAAGUGUACUUUCCAAAUAACUCAUGUUAGAAACCUGGACAUCUCUAACGCUAUGAAGAGGAUACGUAGUCCAUAGCUGGAUUUCUGAGCAAUUCUUCUUCCCUUUUUUUCAUUCCCUUUGUUUAUACCCCAGAAUUCUCUCCUCUAAACUUUGAAAAAUCCUCCUGAUUUGAAACGAA
rnacentral:lncRNA from 1 species